CACACAGACAUUUAUGGAGGAGAAGAACACGCUUUCAGCCUAAUAAUUCAUUAGAACUGGAAAACGUGUGGCUCAUGAAGAUAAAAGGUUGUAUACAUACACAUGUUUCUGGAUAUGCAUUGCCAUGAAUGAUGAGAAAGAAAACAUGACAAGAGGAAUUAUAUCCUUUACGAACACUCUAGAAUGCUCUCUGCAUCACAGAGAGUUUGGGCUUAUUGGACUUAAUGCCUCUUAAGGUUUCAUCCAAUUCUAUGAUCCCGUGACUUGCAAAACACCCCAGAUGUGAAAUAGGAUGCUUUGUUACCUAACGUCACUAAGGUGUUGGAUAGCAUUGCCAGAUGAUUUCCUAUCAUGACUGUGCCCACAUCUUUCUCCACCUUCCUUGCGUGGGAACACAGCACCAAGAAUAUUCUGCUGCUCUGUAGAUGAGGAAUGUACAUUUGAUGAAUGCAUGAAUGAACGGAUCAAAGGCAACGUAUAGAAUGAAAAUCCAGAUUGAAUUUGUUACACAGCUUCCGAGAACACUCAGGCCCGGCUUCCAAGUGCAAUCCUCCUGGCCGGGAGUCAGCAGCCCACGCACAUGCGCGCAGGGCGUUGCGCCAGGGCCGGUUCUUUGCCUGACCCUCUGCAGCCUCUGCUUUUCUGGAACUUGUGGUGCAGUGUCGCCUUCUCCGCGGGCACGUUCCGUGGGUUGCCCCAAGUGCACAGCCUCUGGCCGAAAUGCCAUCAUCUUAAAGGUGUUCCAGCUGAGCCAAUGUCUCCCAAACGCUUGCUCGCAACUGAGAAAAUGCCAAGCCAACUUUCUGCCUUCUCCUGUCCUACAUCCAGGCCUAUGAGAUUCCCUGGAGGAAAAAGACAGAAGCAAAUCCAUGUUUCUGCAAUUCUAUCUUCUCCUACCUGAGCCAGAGUCCCAGGAUCCACUCUCUCUGCUCAGCUAUCUAGACCUUAGAGGUACUGACCCUACUCUCUGCUCUUACCUGCCAGUGAGUAUUCCAUUAGUACUUUGGGUUCUCUAUACUUGCCCAUACCUUUGUAAAUAGUCUCUUUAUUAAACUUUCCUCAAAUUUCCCGAUUUCAGGGGUGUCAUCUCUUUCCCACCAGUACCAGGACCUGUAUAAAGUAAUUUAACACUACCAACAACUCAGGCCCUCCUGAGUCUCAUGAUGGUGUCUCUUGUUCUUCUGCUAACGUUUUAGCUCUGCCUAUCAAUCCCCUUUAGACAGUGGCUGAGUGUGAUGCUUAAGGAGAUGGGCUCCAGAACCAGACCAGGAGGUCUGUGCCACCAACCAGCAGUGUGACCUCGGGAAAUUUCCCAAACCUCUCUGUCUCAGUCUUCUCCUCUAUAAGUGGUGGAUAAGAUGCUUCCCUACCUCAAAGUCUAAUGGAGAUGAAAUGGCUUAAAACAUGUGAAACACUUAGAAUAGUGCCUGGUGCACAUUAAACCAUAAAUGCUGGU